GAUGAACGCUAGCUACAGGCUUAACACAUGCAAGUCGAGGGGAAACGACAUUGAAGCUUGCUUCGAUGGUCGUCGACCGGCGCACGGGUGAGUAACGCGUAUCCAACCUGCCUCUGACCAAGGGAUAACCCGUCGAAAGUCGGCCUAAUACCUUAUGCAGUCGUCGGAAGUCAUCUGAUGACGACGAAAGAUUUCAUCGGUGAGAGAUGGGGAUGCGUCUGAUUAGCUUGUUGGCGGGGUAACGGCCCACCAAGGCAACGAUCAGUAGGGGUUCUGAGAGGAAGGUCCCCCACAUUGGAGCUGAGACACGGUCCAAACUCCUACGGGAGGCAGCAGUGAGGAAUAUUGGUCAAUGGGCGAGAGCCUGAACCAGCCAAGUAGCGUGCAGGAUGACGGCCCUAUGGGUUGUAAACUGCUUUUAUGCGGGGAUAAAGUGAGGGACGUGUCCUUCAUUGCAGGUACCGCAUGAAUAAGGACCGGCUAAUUCCGUG
rnacentral:rRNA from 1 species